rnacentral:lncRNA from 1 species
AAAUUCUCCUACUAAUUAUAAACUGCUACAAGCAAAACAGUAUGUAAUUAAGAGUCCGAAUUUUAGAAAGAGAAUAAUGCAACAAAAGGCAUCUUCACACAGAGAAAAUCAAACAAGGUGAAAGCGAAUGAACCAUGCAAAAUUUCAGGUCUGCCCUAAAAAUCUUGUAAUUUAGACGAAAAGAGUGAAAUAACUACAAACAAGCCAAACAGCAAUUGAAAGAUUAAAACUUGAAAAGAAAAACAUAUCCAAUACUCCACUUCUAACACAUGCAAGUAGCAAAAUUAGUGUAAAUUUUCUAAGAAAUUCCACAACCAACAAAAUGCACAGGCAACAACACAUAGAUUGAUAAAGAAAAUCCGGCUACUACUAAACUAUUGCAAGAACAAACUUGUUACGAUACUUUUUUUUUUAAAAAAAAAUUAUCAACUGAAGAGAUACGUGCCGCAAUUAAUUCAGAAAUAAAAUCUAACUCACCUCAAAAGCCAUAGUAACCAGACCCUCUAUCUGAAAUCUGUGACAAACAGUAUCAAAUAAAAGAAAAUCAGCACUAAAACAUUCGUCAAAAAAGAUGAACCAUAAAAACAUGAAAAACAUGCCAUUAUUAGUAUGCGAAUACCAUGAAAUGUUCUGACCAGCGAAUAGAAGAUUGUAAAAUACAUGUUAUGUAUGUUAAAAUUCUGGCACCAUAAAUAAAAUUGUAAAGUACAUGUUUGCAAGUACACAGAGCACCAUCUCCUCAAGCAAGAAAGAAGGUACGUCCAAGAUUUUCUGGAACAUCAUGUUACAAGAACUUGUCUAAUAGAUUCAUGUGGAUUUUCUUUAUAAGUUGUGAUUCUGCAAAUUUGAAAGAACAUGCACCAUAUUUCAACUGACCCUAUAGAAUGUGAAAACCUAUAAUCUUUUAUAGGAUCUUUACUGCACUUUCUUGUGUUAUUAUUCAUUUCCAAAUUGUUGUUGUCCAUUGAUUCUUUUCCUCAACUAGUACUCUUAUGCACCCAAAACAUUCAUUUUACUCUUUUUGUCAAAACUAAUCCAUGAUGCACAUUCUAAAUAUACAUAUCAAAAGUAUAGAACUCAUACAUUUUACAUUGUAAACAACUGUGAACAUGUAGUACAACCACAUGUUAACAACAACUUCACACCAAAAUUGAUACCAUUGCAUGAUGAAAUAUCAUAAAUUACGAGAUGCCUGUAAAUUAAAAAAACAGAAUUCAGUAGAUAAAUAUAGGCAUUUCCAUAUCUCAACAACAAGACAACUAAAUCCAUUACAAAAUAUAAACAAAAAGAAAAGGAAAAGAAAGGCAAAACUUAGAAAAACAUUACAGAAAAAUUACCAAAAAAAAAAAUCAAAUUUGUCCAUGUAAAAAAAAGAACUAUAUAGAAUUGAUUUGGGCAUUCCAUAUAUCAACUGCAAGAGUCCGAAAUCCAUUAAAAUGAUAAAAAUAAGAAAAGAAUAAAUGCAGGAACUUAGAAAUAUUACAGUAAAGUUACCCAAAAAAAUUGAUAUUAUUCUUGAAAAAAUACAGAACUCAUAUGGGCACUUCCACAUCUCAACCGCAAGAGUCCCAAAUCCAUCAAACAUAUCAAAAAAUAAGACAAGAAAAUAUUAAAAAAACCAUGAAAAGAACGAAUGAAAUUGAAAAGGGGAACAUAACUGGCCUGGUUGAAAUCAUAUGAAUGAUGCAGCGACAGUAAUUUUUGACGUUUUUUCAAAGAAACUCAAAUUUUAAGUAAGAUUGAAAACCCUAAAGAAUCCUAGAAGAAGAUUACAAAGCUUUCUACAACCUUUUCUUUUUAGGGAUUUUGGAGACACAAAAACAAAACUCCUGAGAAAUUAAAUUACGAUAUAAACUGUAAUGAAAUGCAGGAGUUAGACUAAAAUAGAAGUUACGUGCUAGGAAGAAGGAAGGUAGAAGGCGUGGAAUCUAGUAACUGAAGGCGUGAUCAAAAGGAAGCACUUCGGCAAAGGCGCGUAAGCUAAACCACGCCUUUGCUGGGUUUCAUCUGUUCUAACAGAAAGCCAAGAAGCGCGGCAACUUGCAGCAACUUGCAGCUGCAAUUGGGACACGUGUUUGAACCUUAUUUGGUACUGUUAGAAAUCUGUUAGAAGCUAAUAACUAUAUAAGCAGGCCUGUCUGCUUAGUCGAGUAGGCUUUUGAAUCAUUUCUGUCCAGAUUAGUUGUAAUAGCUUGAGGAGCAAUCCUCAUACUUUCCCUCCCAAAUUUUCCUUCAGAUCUUACACCUUCUUAGCUAAAUUCAUUACCUCUAUUCUUGUAAUUUGUUUCCGAUUCAUUAAUGAAUUUGAGCUCAAUUCAAUUACUGUUCCAUUGAUCAACUGCUGAACAUUGCAGUCAAGUUUGUUUCCUUUUACAUUUUCUGCCCUUUGGCUUCUGUACCAUAACAUAAACACAAUUUUAUCUAAAUAAAAAACAAGUACUACAGUUACCUGAUUAUCCAAAUUAGUGACUCUUCUUCCCCUGUUCUACCCUCGCACUUAAAAGCACAGAGAUUCUCUCCUUCUCCGUGUGAUCAAGAGUAUGUAGAGAAUGGGAAAAAAAUUUGAGACGAAAUUUUUAUUCUCAAAAAACAAUAUCAAAAUUUGAAAGUAAAAAAUUCCGCCCAAAUUUUUUUGAAUAAAAUUAACCCAAAAAAUGUGAGGAAUUAAAAGCUGAAGGAGGACGAUAAGGCAGAAAGCGUGUACUAUUGUGCAUGUUUUUCUAGAUGUUUUUGUGUGCCGAAAUGGGAAAG